GACGGAGGAGGCAAGCGUUUAUCCGGAAUUAUUGGGCGUAAAGGGCGCGUAGGCGGCCUGGCAAGUGGAUGGUGAAAUCCCUCGGCUUAACCGAGGAACUGCCAUCCAGACUGCUUGGCUUGAGACCGGGAGAGGUGAGUGGAAUUCCCAGUGUAGCGGUGAAAUGCGUAGAUAUUGGGAGGAACACCAGUGGCGAAGGCGGCUCACUGGACCGGUACUGACGCUGAGGCGCGAAAGCGUGGGGAGCAAACAGG
rnacentral:rRNA from 1 species